GGGGGGGGCAAGCGUUGUUCGGAAUUACUGGGCGUAAAGGGUUCGUAGGUGGCCAACUAAGUCAGACGUGAAAUCCCUCAGCUUAACUGGGGAACUGCGUCUGAUACUGGUGUGGCUUGAGUGCAGGAGAGGAACGCGGAAUUCCAGGUGUAGCGGUGAAAUGCGUAGAUAUCUGGAGGAACACCGGUGGCGAAGGCGGCGUUCUGGACUGCAACUGACACUGAGGAACGAAAGCCAGGGGAGCAAACGGGAUUAGAUACCCCGGUAGUCCUGGCCCUAAACGAUGAAUGCUUGGUGUGGCGGGUAUCGAUCCCUGCCGUGCCGAAGUUAACGCGAUAAGCAUUCCGCCUGGGGAGUACGGUCGCAAGGCUG
rnacentral:rRNA from 1 species